AGAUUUGUCGGUACGGGAGGGGCCUGCGUAUCAUCAGCUAGUUGGUAAGGUAAUGGCUUACCAAGGCUACGACGAUUAGCUGGUCUGAGAGGAUGAUCAGUCACACUGGAACUGAGACACGGUCCAGACUCCUACGGGAGGCAGCAGUGGGGAAUAUUGCACAAUGGGGGAAACCCUGAUGCAGCAACGCCGCGUGGAGGAUGACACAUUUCGGUGCGUAAACUCCUUUUAUAUAGGAAGAUAAUGACGGUACUAUAUGAAUAAGCGCCGGCUAACUCCGUGCCAGCAACCGCGGUAAUACGGAGGGCGCAAGCGUUACUCGGAAUCACUGGGCGUAAAGAGCGUGUAGGCGGAUAAAUAAGUUUGAAGUGAAAUCCUGUGGCUCAACCAUAGAACUGCUUUGAAAACUGUUCAUCUAGAAUAUGGGAGAGGUAGAUGGAAUUUCUGGUGUAGGGGUAAAAUCCGUAGAGAUCAGAAGGAAUACCGAUUGCGAAGGCGAUCUACUGGAACAUUAUUGACGCUGAGACGCGAAAGCGUGGGGAGCAAACAGGAUUAGAUACCCUGGUAGUCCACGCCCUAAACGAUGUACACUAGUUGUAGUGAGGCUAGACCUUGCAGUAAUGCAGUUAACACAUUAAGUGUACCGACUGGGGGAGUACGGUCGCAAGAUUAAAACUCAAAGGAAU
rnacentral:rRNA from 1 species